AUAUCCACACUGAGGGGUUUGAUGCUAUGUAGUCAAAUGGCAUCAAAAAGGAGGGAGUUGAUAGGGAAAGAGCCCCCCAACCCCACCUUAACC